UACAGAGGGGGCAAGCGUUGUUCGGAAUUACUGGGCGUAAAGGGCGCGUAGGCGGCCUUCUAAGUCGAACGUGAAAUCCCCGGGCUCAACCCGGGAACUGCGUCCGAUACUGGAAGGCUUGAAUCCGGGAGAGGGAUGUGGAAUUCCAGGUGUAGCGGUGAAAUGCGUAGAUAUCUGGAGGAACACCAGCGGCGAAGGCGGCAUCCUGGACUGGUCCUGACACUCAUGAGCGAAAGCGUGGGGAGCGAUCCGG
rnacentral:rRNA from 1 species